UACGUAGGGGGCAAGCGUUGUCCGGAAUUAUUGGGCGUAAAGAGCGCGUAGGCGGUCCGAUAAGUCGGCUGUGAAAGUCAAGGGCUCAACCCUUGAAAGCCGGCCGAUACUGUCGGACUAGAGUCCGGAAGAGGCAAGUGGAAUUCCCGGUGUAGCGGUGAAAUGCGCAGAUAUCGGGAGGAACACCAAUGGCGAAGGCAGCUCGCUGGGACGGUACUGACGCUGAGACGCGAAAGCGUGGGGAGCAAACAGG
rnacentral:rRNA from 1 species